GAUGAACGCUAGCGGCAGGCUUAAUACAUGCAAGUCGAGGGGCAGCACAGAUAGCAAUAUUGGGUGGCGACCGGCAAACGGGUGCGGAACACGUACACAACCUUCCUUUUGGUGGGGGAUAGCCUUUGGAAACGGAGAUUAAUACCCCAUAAGAUAUUGUGACCGCAUGGUUAUGAUAUUAAAGAUUUAUUGCCAGAAGAUGGGUGUGCGUAUGAUUAGGUAGUUGGUGAGGUAAAGGCUCACCAAGCCGACGAUCAUUAACUGGUGUGAGGGCACGACCAGUCACACGGGCACUGGGACACGGGCCCGGCUCCUACGGAAGGCAGCAGUAAGGAAUAUUGGUCAAUGGACGGAAGUCUGAACCAGCCAUGCCGCGUGGAGGAUGAAGGUCCUCCGGAUUGUAAACUUCUUUUAUAUGGGGCGAAAAAGGGCCAUUCUUGGUCAACUGACGGUACCAUAUGAAUAAGCACCGGCUAACUCCGUGCCAGCCGCCGCAGUAACAC
rnacentral:rRNA from 1 species